GGAGGGUGCGAGCGUUGUCCGGAAUCACUGGGCGUAAAGGGCGCGUAGGCGGCUUCUUAAGCGGGCGGUGAAAGCCCGGGGCUCAACCCCGGGUCGGCCGUGCGAACUGGGAAGCUCGAGCCCACUAGAGGCAGGCGGAAUUCCGGGUGUAGCGGUGGAAUGCGUAGAGAUCCGGAAGAACACCGGUGGCGAAGGCGGCCUGCUGGGGUGGAGCUGACGCUGAGGCGCGACAGCGUGGGGAGCAAACAGGAUUAGAUACCCUGGUAGUCCACGCCGUAAACGAUGGGCACUAGGUGCUCGGGGGAGCGACCCUCCGGGUGCCGGCGCUAACGCAUUAAGUGCCCCGCCUGGGGAGUACGGCCGCAAGGCUG
rnacentral:rRNA from 1 species